GAUGAACGCUGGCGGCGUGCUUAACACAUGCAAGUCGAACGAAGCAUUCUAACGGAACAUUUUCGGAUGGGAAGUUAAAAUGACUGAGUGGCGGACGGGUGAGUAACGCGUGGGUAACCUACCAUAUACAGGGGGACAACAGUUGGAAACGACUGCUAAUACCGCAUAAGCGCACAGUGCCGCAUGGCACGGUGUGAAAAACUCCGGUGGUAUAUGAUGGAUCCGCGUCUGAUUAGCUAGUUGGUGAGGUAAUGGCCCACCAAGGCAACGAUCAGUAGCCGACCUGAGAGGGUGACCGGCCACAUUGGGACUGAGACACGGCACAAACUCCUACGGGAGGCAGCAGUGGGGAAUAUUGCACAAUGGGCGAAAGCCUGAUGCAGCGACGCCGCGUGAGCGAAGAAGUAUUUCGGUAUGUAAAGCUCUAUCAGCAGGGAAGAAAAUGACGGUACCUGACUAAGAAGCCCCGGCUAACUACGUGCCAGCCGCCGCAGUAA
rnacentral:rRNA from 1 species